AAAGCACUUUCAGUAGGGAGGAAGGUAGUGUAGUUAACACCUGCAUUAUUUGACGUUACCUACAGAAGAAGCACCGGCUAACUCCGUGCCAGCAGCCGCGGUAAUACGGAGGGUGCGAGCGUUAAUCGGAAUUACUGGGCGUAAAGCGCAUGCAGGCGGCCUGUUAAGUCAGAUGUGAAAGCCCGGGGCUUAACCUCGGAAUUGCAUUUGAAACUGGCAGGCUAGAGUCUUGUAGAGGGGGGUAGGAAUUUCAGGUGUAGCGGUGAAAUAGCGUAGAGAUCUGAAGGAAUACCAGUGGCGAAGGCGGCCCCCUGGACAAAGACUGACGCUCAGAUGCGAAAGCGUGGGGAGCAAACAGGAUUAGAUACCCUGGUAG
rnacentral:rRNA from 1 species